rnacentral:rRNA from 1 species
GUCGAACGGUCUUCAGCAAUGGAGAUAGUGGCGCACGGGUGCGUAACGCGUAACCAACCUACCCACAUCUGGGGGAUAGCCCGCCGAAAGGCGGAUUAAUACCGCAUAAGCUACUUAGCCGGCAUCGGUUGGAUAGUAAAGAUUUAUUGGAUGUGGAUGGGGUUGCGUGCCAUUAGCUAGUUGGUUGGGUAACGGCUGACCAAGGCGACGAUGGCUAGGGGAGCUGAGAGGCUGGUCCCCCACACGGGCACUGAGAUACGGGCCCGACUCCUACGGGAGGCAGCAGUAGGGAAUAUUGGGCAAUGGCCGAGAGGCUGACCCAGCCAUGCCGCGUGCAGGACGAAGGCUUUCUGAGUCGUAAACUGCUUUUUUCCGGGAAGAACCACCCCCUUGCGAGGGAGCCUGACGGUACCGGGAGAAUACGCACCGGCUAACUCCGUGCCAGCAGCCGCGGUAAUACGGAGGGUGCGAGCGUUGUCCGAAUUUAUUGGGUUUAAAGGGUGCGUAAGCGGGCCGGUAAGUUUGGGGUGAAAGCCCGUUGCUCAACCACGGAACUGCCCUGAAAAACUGCCGGGCUUGAGUCCAGUCGAGGUUGGCGGAAUGGGCGAUGUAGCGGUGAAAUG